rnacentral:rRNA from 1 species
CUGGCGGCGUGGAAUAAAACAUGCAAGUCCAAACGAAGAGAAUUUGCCUAGCUUGCCUAAUAAUUUUCUAGUGGCGCACGGGUUGAGUAACACGUUGAGUAACCUGCCCCCCGAGAGCGGGAUAGCCCUGGGAAAACUGGGAUUAAUACCGCAUAGUAUCGAAAGAAUUAAAGCAGCAAUGCGCUUGGGGAUGGGCUCGCGGCCUAUUAGUUAGUUGGUGAGGUAACGGCUCACCAAGGCGAUGACGGGUAGCCGGUCUGAGAGGAUGUCCGGCCACACUGGAACUGAGACACGGUCCAGACACCUACGGGUGGCAGCAGUCGAGAAUCAUUCACAAUGGGGGAAACCCUGAUGGUGUGACGCCGCGUGGGGGAAUGAAGGUCUUCGGAUUGUAAACCCCUGUCAUGUGGGAGCAAAUUAAAAAGAUAGUACCACAAGAGGAAGAGACGGCUAACUCUGUGCCAGCAGCCGCGGUAAUACAGAGGUCUCAAGCGUUGUUCGGAAUCACUGGGCGUAAAGCGUGCGUAGGCUGUUUCGUAAGUCGUGUGUGAAAGGCGCGGGCUCAACCCGCGGACGGCACAUGAUACUGCGAGACUAGAGUAAUGGAGGGGGAACCGGAAUUCUCGGUGUAGCAGUGAAAUGCGUAGAUAUCGAGAGGAACACUCGUGGCGAAGGCGGGUUCCUGGACAUUAACUGACGCUGAGGCACGAAGGCCAGGGGAGCGAAAGGGAUUAGAUACCCCUGUAGUCCUGGCAGUAAACGGUGCACGCUUGGUGUGCGGGGAAUCGACCCCCUGCGUGCCGGAGCUAACGCGUUAAGCGUGCCGCCUGGGGAGUACGGUCGCAAGAUUAAAACUCAAAGAAAUUGACGGGGACCCGCACAAGCGGUGGAGUAUGUGGCUUAAUUCGAUGCAACGCGAAGAACCUUACCUGGGCUUGACAUGUAAUGAACAACAUGUGAAAGCAUGCGACUCUUCGGAGGCGUUACACAGGUGCUGCAUGGCCGUCGUCAGCUCGUGUCGUGAGAUGUUUGGUUAAGUCCAGCAACGAGCGCAACCCCUGUUGCCAGUUACCAGCACGUGAAGGUGGGGACUCUGGCGAGACUGCCCAGAUCAACUGGGAGGAAGGUGGGGACGACGUCAGGUCAGUAUGGCCCUUAUGCCCAGGGCUGCACACGUACUACAAUGCCCAGUACAGAGGGGGCCGAAGCCGCGAGGCGGAGGAAAUCCUGAAAACUGGGCCCAGUUCGGACUGUAGGCUGCAACCCGCCUACACGAAGCCGGAAUCGCUAGUAAUGGCGCAUCAGCUACGGCGCUGUGAAUACGUUCCCGGGUCU